rnacentral:lncRNA from 1 species
UCUCUUUUUGAACCAUAUAAGAUAGUGAAUAUUUUAAGAAGAAGACAAAUACCACCUCUUCUUAUAGAAGAAGAUAAUAAUUAAAAAUUUCACAUAGAAGAAGUCUUAGUUUUAAGAUGGUACCAAAUAUAUAUUAGAAUAUCUUGUUUAUUGGCAUGGAUAUGAUAUUAAUAAAUAUUAUCGUAAUAUGUGAAAUCUUGCUUGAAAAUGCUUUGGAUACUUGGUUGUGGAAGGUAGAAUGGAAAUUGCAAUAACAAAAUCUCAACUCUAAUAGAACACUAAAAUUGUUAAGCAAGCUUUAAUCAAAUUCAAAGAAACCUUAAAAUAAUUACAAAGUAAUAAUAAAAAAUCUUAAAAAAUAUAUUAGAAUGAUCACAAAUAUAUUCCAAAUAAAUCUUAAUUUAAUCCUAGUUAAAAUCCUAUCAGAUUUCAUUCAAACUUUAAGCCAAAAACUAACUAUAUCUUAAACCUUAAACAAUUCCUAAAUAAAUCCUAAACAAAUCCUAAAUUCUAAAUUAAAUACUAAUCAAACUUUAAAUUCUAAAUCAAUUCCUAAUAAAAUCCUAAUCAAAUCUUAAAUCCUAAAUUAAUUCCUAAUCAAAUCUUAAUCCUAAAUCAAAUCCUAACUAAAUCCUAAUCCUAAAUCAAAUCUUAACCAAAUCCUAAAUCUUAAAUCAAAACCUAAAUCAAAUCCUAAUUAAAUUCUAAAUCCUAAACUAAACUCUAAUCAAAUCCUAAAUCCUAAAUCCUAAACCAAAUCCUAACUAAAUCCUAAACUCUAAACCAAAUCCUAACCAAAUUCUAAUGCUAAUCAAAUCCUAACCAAAUCCUAAAUUCUAAAUCUUAAAUCUAAUCUUAACCAAAUUCUAAACCCUAAAUUAAAUCCUAAAUCCUAAAUCCUAAAUCAAAUCUUAAUGAAUUCUAAGUAAUUCCUACAAAAGAUUUGAAUUUCAAUAAUUAAUGAAUGAACCAUUGAUUUUAAUUCAAAAUUUGCACAUUUCUUAACAACUAAGUUCAUAACAAGUACAAAAAAAAAAAAAAAAAAAAAAAAAAAUGAUCGGAAUCACCAAAUAGAUGAUAACCUCAAAAACGUACUUGGAUAUUAGCUGGCCUCCUUCUCUAACCUUAAAGAGUGCUAUUGACUCUUUUUCACCAUUCAAUUGAUUUCAAAAUUUUCACAUACAUACAAAAAUAAGUCUACUAUUUUCAUACAUAAAUUUCACUUCAAUCCAACUAAAAGAUUGCAAAAAAACUUAAAAACCAUCAUUGGACCUAAAAUUCUACUUUCUGAGAUCUUGACCCACUUAAACCUCAAUAAUCCUCAAUUCAACUAUUAAAUCAAGCUAAAAUUCACAACACAUAUUAAGUACAACCAUAAC